rnacentral:rRNA from 1 species
GACGAACGCUGGCGGCGUGCUUAACACAUGCAAGUCGAGCGGUAAGGCCCUUUCGGGGGGUACACGAGCGGCGAACGGGUGAGUAACACGUGGGUGACCUGCCCUCAGCUCUGGGAUAAGCCCGGGAAACUGGGUCUAAAUACCGGAUAUGACUCCAUGACGCAUGUUGGUGGGGCGGAAAAGCCUUGUGCGGCUGAGGAUGGGCCCGCGGCCUA